AAUCCAUUUAAAUUGUAGAUUGAAAAUAAGAAUUUAAUUGCGUAAUUCCUUUGUGUAUCCAAAUGGCAUACAUAUAUGUAAUUUGUAUAAAAAAAAAGAUCUCAUACAUAUACACAAACACAAAGACUGUGAGCACAACUUUAUGAGAAGAAAGCGAGAGAAUAUAAUGGAUGCUUAUAGAUUUUCAAUUGCUUUUCCCUCUAAAAUAGUUCCUGCAACAUCCUUAAAAUCCUCAUAUCAUACAAUCAGAUAAAUUCCAAUAAUUUAUCACAAAAUAAAGAAUAUAAUUAGUUAGGUAACACAAAAUAUUGAAAGUUUUUUUUUAAAGAAAGUGCAUCUCCUUCCACGAUAUGUCCAAGUAUUGCUCUCAAAAGAAAUAUUGCCAAGGUGAAACAAAUUUAAGCUUUGAAGGGUAAAAGAAGUAGCAAAAACAAUCUAAUAGUAAAGUAAGAAUUACCUGUAAUUGGUUAAGAGGAUGCAUUGGCUAUCAAGGUUAAGAGUGAUGGUGGUGUUCUUUAUUAUAUAUAUAUUUUUGACGAUACUCUGCACUAUAGAAUGAGAAGCCAGAAGUUUUAAGCAAUUAAUUGUAAUAAGUUAUUAUGUACAUCUCUUUAGGACCCCGUUAAAAAAUUAACGCAUUUAUAACUUUUUAUUACUCUCUCUAAUUGCACAAUAAAUAAACAAUAACUUGGAAGAUCGAACAACUAAAUAAUUGGGAGAUAAAGGCAAAGAAAGGAAGUUAAAGAUAAAUAGCUUUUUCUGGUCUAAGAGAGGUGCCACAAAUAAUUGGAGAGAGUGUACCUGAAAAACUGGAACACCAUAAAAGCUUUUUUCAAAAGUUCCAAUCCUUUCCUUUUCAUAUUUAAAAAGAGCCAGCAGAAUAUGAUUACUUCAGAUUAUAGAAUAAAAAAAUUAACAGUGCACAAAAUAAUAUAUAAACAUGUUAAUUUAUAUUUUAAUGUACAAAACUAUCUUUUGCAUAAGCGGACACCUGAAUAUACUCCUCAAAAAAAUGUCACAAAAGGAUAGGCCUCCAACCAUUUGACUGACAAAACCUAUGCAAUAAUUUCUGAAAUUCCCAAUUGGUAUAUGUAAUUAUCUUUGUUAGAGUAUAUAACUGAGCAAAAACUAUCUUUUCAAUCAAUUUCAAACAAAAUGUACCUUCUGCAUACUAUAAAUUUAUUCCUAAGAUGAAAAAAACCUUGUUAAUGCUCACCUUAGCUACAAGAAUUUUCAAAUAUUGCAUUAAACAAAGGUUUCUUUCAAGAAAAAGUUUCUAAGCACGACUAAUUGUUGUGCUAUCUAACUUGUGCUAAUGCUUGAGUAAGCAUUGUGCAAGGUUUAUUAUUAUCAAUUAAGUUACUGGUACCUUCAAAAUAGACAAAAUAAAGUAAAAUUGUUUUAUCCUUAUUUGUAUUCUUUCUAGAUAUUAUAUCCUCCUUCAGCAUGUUAGUUUAUUUGCAUAAGUUAUAAUAGUUAGCUUUAGACAGUAAUCAAGUAACAUAACAUUUCAAUGUCAAAUAACUCAUUAUUAUGGCACAUAGAGUAAAGCUCAAAGGUACACCUCAAUAAUAAAGUUCUACCACGAUGCUGCUUGUUUGGCUGAAGCAAGUAACAGAGUUGCAUCUAUUAAACAUGUACCUGUAAUAUAUCCAAUUUUUUGUCUAUACCUUUUUAACCCACUUAUCUUGAACAACAUAAUCUUCACUAUGUUGCGCGUCACCAUCACUUGUUUAGUUCCACAUUUCUAUUAAAAGAAGAAUACAACAUGAGAUGCCCAAGGCAAUCACUAAGGUAAAAGGAGGAAUGAAUUCCUAAUAAGGCAAAAAAGUCCAAUAUUUCAGUAUUAUAUUUGAAUGUUCCUCAAAAUAUACAAUUCUAACAUCGAAAGGAAAAUUGACACUUAAGUAAAAGAUAUUAUAAUACUUCAUGACAGUAUCAUGGAGUUUAACAGAAAUUAUCUUUUAAUGUUAAUGUGUUUGUUCCACAUUGACCAUUUCAGAGUCUCUUUCAAGGUCGGAGCAUCUCUAUUCCCAUCUGAUAAAUAUAGUUAAAAAUUAAUGUUAUAAGUUAAUAAAGAAAUUAAUCUUUACUAAUUAAACAUCUUUUUACGAUUCUACCAUCUUUUAAUGGUUUUUAACAUUCUACAUAAACUGUAACCUUAUCCAAGUAAAUAUGAGACCACCUAUGUUAAACUGAAAAUGCCCCACAAUUAAGGAGAUAACCAACAACAACAACAAGAACGACAAUUAAGGAGAUAACCAGAAAGCAUAAAUUAAAGGGGGGAAAACUAUGAAAAAUUCAAUUAUAACAGCAAAUCAUUCCAACUAUAAAAUGACCUCUCUUUUGGAAUAAUAUGAUUGUAUUUCCAUCUUAACUUCAAAAGAUUGACCCAUACUUCAAUCAACUAUGAUUUAUCUGUAUAUAUUUCACAAGUUCGAAUUUUAAUAUUUAGAGCAUUUGUGAUAUCCUCUCAAAUUGUUACAUAAAUAAAUAGCAUAAAAUUGAGUAAAAAAAAAAGUUAGGAUAAUUUUAAUAGAAAAAGGACCUGCAAAGUCAUGAACUGUCCGUGAAUUUUCUCGGGAGCAGAAAGUGUCUUGUCGUUGAAGCCUUUAAUUGCUGCCAAUCAAUAACGUUGUUGAUCCCUGAUUUUCGACUCGGAAUCCAAAUUGAAAGCCUGCCACCAUUGACUCCAAAUUUGCCUCGUCUUCUAUUUGGGGGAGAGUACUGUUAUGUGAGAGAUUUGAGGAAGGGGCAACUGUUUUACCUUUGGGCUUCCAUGAAACGAU
rnacentral:lncRNA from 1 species